GGUCUGUGAUGUGGAUGUAAAAGGUCUGAGGUUCAGGCUCCUCCCCCGGCGCCCCUCCCAGCAGCCCCUGCUCCGACCCCGGCGCUCCAGCGUGCGUGUGGGCGCCAGCGGCUGCUGACAGAGCAGGAUGUGACCUCACGGCCCCUCAGAGACUUGGCGGGUGGCGUGACGCCAGCGUCCAACAGCAUCCGAGCAGGAGGAGCUGGGGGGCGGAGCCUGAACGCUGAUCUGUCCUUCCUGCUGAGACC
rnacentral:snoRNA from 1 species